CUUGGAAUGCACUCCAGAGGCCCCUGACAUUGAUUCUUCUCUAGACUCAAACUAACCUAGUUACAUGUCCGCCCUCGAACCAGCGGCUGCAGCCGAAGAUCUGCAGACUUCUUAUUGGCCAAGAUGGCGUUACAUCUAUAAUUCCAAACCAGUCACUGAUGGAGGAAUGAGAAUGACUGCAGUUGGCUUGGACCUAUAACUCACUCUGAAGCCGGGGCGAGGAAUAGCCACCGUCCCUGAGCUCCUGAGUAGAUGCACAACCAACAAAACUGAAUCCCGUCAGCGAAGGAGUCAUGGGUGGGCAACCCGUGCUGUGUCUACCAUAAGCACAACUCCUGGUGCUCAUGAGGUGCCCCCAAAGGCUGGCAUUUGGCAAGCUCAAGACUGGGAGUCCACACAGUGCUCCAGGUGGGAGGAUCACAACCGCGAUUGGCCAGGGAGUCCCUCUGGGUGCCAGACCCCUGUAUGCAAAGCCCCACUCAGCAUCUCCACUUGAUUGGCUUAUGGGAACCUCAAAUCCAACACACUAUAUUUGAACUCAUCAUAUUUCCUCCCCACUGGCCUCCUCUGUUGGUACCCACCUUGCUCAAGCCAGAAGCUGGCUGGUCCUCAGGAGUCCCUGCUUUCCUUCCCCAUCUGUGCCCACGUCUCUCCAGCUCUGCCAUCAUCUUCCACCUGGACACCAACCAAGCCCCCGCUCUCCCUGCUGCUGUGUGGGCAUCAACAGCCUAUGCUGUUCCCUCUGAACGGAACUCUUCCCGCUCCUGUUUCCCUGUCACCUUGCUCAGGAAAGCUCUUCUGAUCCCCCCAAGUUGAAUCCCUCAUUACAAACCUCACAUCCUGACAUACAUCUCUCCAUUGCCCUGAUCAUACUUCUUAUUUACCUGUGUGAUUAUUUCACUCAUGUCUCACCCCACCAGGUUGCAGCUCCAUGAGGGUGGGAAUUGGGUCUGUUUUGUUCACUGAUAACCUUCAGUGCCUGACACAUAGUAGGGCCUCAAUUUUAUUCCUGAAUCCCAUAAAUGAAUAAAUUCAUCCCCUGCCCUGUGGCCAGGGAGAUCACUCUAAGAAGCAAAUCUAAUCACUCCCUCUCCUGCCAUAAGCCUUCCAUGGCUCCCCUUUACCCACAGGACAAAGUCUAAAGGGCUUAACCUGGCUCUUUCAGGCUCCUCAAAGUGGAUUCUGCCACCUCUCCAGCCCCAUCUCACCUGCCCCAUUGUCCUUUACGGUCCAGCCACCCUCUACUCCUUUAGGUGUCUCAAAGUCUGCAUGUUCUCUCCUAUCCCUGGAUUUGCCUAUAUGCUAUGUUUCUCCCGGAAACUUUGUCUCAAAAAAUCUUCAUUCUCAUUGCCAAGGCUUUAAAAUUUGCCUCUUUUGGGGAAGGUUUAGUUCUGUAAGCUCAUUCUGGAAAUCUGGGUUCCUUCUAUCUAGCUGUUGUCAUCCUCAGUCCAUAGCUUCCAGUCAAGUCCAAAACAGCUGCUAUAGCUUCUCCGUCACAUCUACGUUCCAGGCAGUGGGGAGAGAGAAAGGGUCAUUCCUCUUAAGGGCAUGACUCAGAAGCAGUGCUAUCACUUCUACUCAAUCCCAUUGGCUGGAGCUCAGUCAUAUGACCAUGCCUAACUGCAAAGGAGGCCGGGAAAUAGAAUCACUAUCUGCCGAUUAUGUUAGCAUGUUUCCCACUAAUGCUCCAAAAUUCUCUCAGUAUGAGAAAAAAGCUGAUGGAUGUUGGUGGACACUGAUGGUCCUGCCACACUCACCCCCACAGUGCCAGUCAUGGACUUAUCUCUGCCCAGCCAGACUGUGAGCUCCCUAAGGACAGGGACCAUAUAUGGUGGUCAUUGCAGCAUCCCCUGCAACUCACAGAGUGCUGGUUGUGACAUAUGGCAAAUCAGAGUGAAUUGCAGAGGCCGGAAAUACAAGGUGGAGAAACUGAGGCAGGCACCAGUUGAGUUCCACACACAUUUUCUGGGUGCUGAUUACACAUAAGAACCCUGGGCUUGGUCCCGGUGCCUGGGGGGCAGCAACACUUGUCUGGCCUGGCAGUGUCCCCAAAAGCACCCAGUUGGGGGCUGCAAGGCC
rnacentral:lncRNA from 10 species